rnacentral:lncRNA from 1 species
UCAUGUGAGAUGAGACCUUUUUCAAAACGUUUUUCAAGACACAGGAAAGGUCCGGUUGAAAUAUUACUGAUGUUUCACGUUAAAAAUGGCCCUAAAGAUUGAUGCUAAACAACGUUUGACAUGUUUGAACUAACAUAAAUAUAUAUAUUUUUUUACUUUUCGUCGUGACUUUUCCCUCCCGCGCCCUACAUUUUGAGUAGCCUACCGAACGCGCUAACAACACGGAACAACAUGGAGUUAUUUGGACAUAAAUUAUGAACUUCAUCGAAAAAAAACUACAUUUGUUGUGGACCUGGGAUUUCUGGAAGUGCCUUCUGAUGAAGAUUAUUAAAGGUGAGAAAGGAAAUCAAGGAAACAUGGGGAUGCCUGGUGCUCUGUGGCUACUUGGGAAACAGGAAGUGAAAGGUCUACAAUACUCCCUAGAUUUAAUCACAUUACAUUCUCUGGCCACAGCUCAGAUGGACAUUCUUGAUGUCAGCAUGCCAAUUGCACACUUCCUCAAAAGUUGAGACAUCUGUGGCAUUGUGUUAUGUGACAAAACAUCACGUUUUAGGGUGGCCUUUUAUUGUCCCCAGUACAAGGGGCACCUGUGUAAUGAUCAUGCUGUUUAAUCAUCUUCUUGAUAUGCCACACCUGUCAGGUGGAUGGAUUAUCUUGGCAAAGGAGAAAUGCUCACUAACAGAGAUGUAACAAAUUUGGGAGAAAUAAGCUUUUUGUGCGUAUGUAAGAUUUCUGGGAUAUUUUAUUUCAGCUCAUGAAACAUGAGACCAACACUUUACAUGUUGUGUUUAUAUUUUUGUUCAGUAUAAAUGUAGGUGCUAUGUGUCAAUGACUAGAGAACAUGAACUUUGUGAAUAAAGUUACAGUGUGAGAAAAAGGGAACAGAAAGAACUGUAUGUCUAAAGUCUGUUGAGAAACACAGACAUAGUUUUACUAGUAAACAUCAUGAGGACCUGGUACAGAGGAACAGCUACCAGACUGCUGGACCACGAAGACCUCAGCGCAACAAUUAGGCAGUUCUGGAAAACAGAUGGACAGUUUUGAGAAGUCACACCCCUAAUCUAGUCUUGACAUUUAAACGCUUGUUUGGUUUUGUACAAGUCAUGUUUGCAGCUGAAGCAUCCAGUGGGUUGAAUAAACUUGGUUUGAGCUU